UUUCAGCACCUCCUGUUUCACCCCCUCCUGUUUCACCUCUUGUUUCCCCACAUCCUUUUUUUACUGUGGGAGUGAUUGUUGGAAUCGGGAUCGGGGCCUUGGCUGGCACUGUGCUGAUCGGAGUCCUGGUUUACUACUUUGUCCGUCGCUUUAAGCAGGGAGCGGACCAGGGGGUAUCGAUGUCUUCCCCAUCCCCACCAGUUUAAGCAGAUGAAAAAAAAUGAGCUUGAAAUUGUCAACAAAAACCAGGAAGCCGUUUUUGAUACGUAGCCGCCGUUGACAGUAAUGCUAAAGAAACUGUUGCCUCUGAAAAGAAGAAGAAUAUUUUCAAGUAACUGGGAGACACACUGACACUUUUUAAAAUAGAUAUUUUGUACGUUGAGAAUGUUGUCAUACCCUAUUUUUUCCCUUUGCUCCGAGGAGCACCCCAGAUUGUCUGGGAAUAUAUAUUCUGUGCUUUCAGGAACCAGUUUAGUAUUGAACUACGUGCUGUUUGGGGAGAAUAUAAAGUAGAACGCGGUUCUGUACAAGCAUGAAAGUUUUGUGUUUGAGUUUCUUCCCUACCCUUUGUGAUUGUACUUCUACUAAAGCAACACAAACCACUGGCAAUUAACAUCCUCUUCUUUGGAAGUAAAGUUCAUAGGGAAGCUUCUGCAACUCUGCAGAACUCCUCAUAGAUGGUGUAAUUAAAUGUAUAGAUAUAA